rnacentral:lncRNA from 1 species
CUUUUUCUGUUCCAGGAUCCCACAGUACAUCGAGUCAUCGUAUCUCCUCAGGUUCCAGCUGAUUUAUUUGUUGAUUUUUUCUUUUUUGAGGAAGAUUAGCCCUGAGCUAACAUCUGCUGCCAAUCCUCCUUUUUGUUUUCUUGCUGAGGAAGAUUGGCCCGGAGCUAACAUCCAUGCCCAUCUUCCUCCACUUUAUAUGUGGGAUGCCUACCACAGCAUGGCUUACCAAGCGGUGCCAUGUCUGCACCCGGGAUCCGAACCCGUGAACCCUGGGCUGCUGAAGCAGAACAUGCGCACUUAACCGCUGCACCACCGGGCCGGCCCCUCCAGCUAAUUUCAAUAGCCACGUGUGACUGGUGGCUGUGGUAUUGGGCAGCGCAGGUCUGGGGCAAUCCAGCUUGCCGUGGCCGUGACAAUUUCUCAAACUUUGUUAUUGAUGGCCUUGAGGAAUACCAGUCAGGGAAGCUGGGGGAUGAGUGGCAUCCUUGGUCCCGGUCCUAAGGGCUCCGGAGUUCGUCUCGUCCUUCCUCUGGCCAAGGCUCGAUUUUUCUGGACGCGAGGGUCUGCAUCGGAGGCGACAAGGGCUCACCAGUCACUCAGUGCCGGGACGGCUGACUCCGUCCGGGGCCUCCCGGCCAGGAAGCUGUCGAUCUGUGGCUGCCACACCUGGUGCACAGGGUGGAUCAUACUCAGAACCUUCUCCCCCGGACCAGAGAGAGAUGAUUUAGACGAGAGGUGGAACGUGGAGCUGAUGCUGUAAACGGGAUGAGAACUUCGGGGACCUUGGGCCCAGGCGAAUG